UCCCUCGCCUCUCUCUCCGCCUCUCGCCUCUCUUUCUCGCAUCUCUCUCUCAUCUCUCUCUUCCUCACAUCUCUCUCUUCCUUUUCUGCCUCUCCCCCUCUCUACACUCAGCUAAUCCUUUAUCUGGAAAGCAGCUAGAAUCUUCAAACCACGCAUCUCAACGAUUCCUUUUAUCAUUUGCAAUGAUUUUCAAACCUAAAUCAAUCUAAGCAUACAGGUUCAUCCUGGAGCAGCUAAAUGGCAGAAUACUGCCAUGCCAUCAUUCAAAGAACUUUCAAUUAUUUUUGGAAAAGAUAGAGCAACCGGAAAUAUGGCUGAAAAUCUUGAAGAUGUGGUAGAAGAAUUGAACACUGAAGCUGCUGAUGAAUUAUCUCUUCAGGAGGACCUGCAACGAAGCACACAUUCAGACGAGUCAACAAGCAAGAAAAGAAAGAAAGGAAAUGUAGAAUCAUUGUUGGAAGCUGUGUAUGCUGCUUCAGACAGGAUUGCCAAUCAGUUUGAGGCGUCAACCAAGUUACUUAUUGCAGCAGAAGAAGAUAUGAUGCAGAAAAAGAAGCAACUAAAUGACGAACUAUCAAAAAUUCCAAAUCUCACGGUAUUGCAGAAGCUUCAAGUUGCAAAGAAAAUAGCCAAGGACGAAGAUCUUAUGAUAUUGUUUUUUGCAGCACCGGCCGAGGAAAAAAUCGUCUUUGUUAAUGGUAUUCUAGAUAACCAGAUUUGAGCAAACUUUGUUAUUAAUGUCCUUUGUUUUCUUUAGCAACAUUUGGUAAAACUAGACUUAAUAGCUUUUUCAUUUUAUUGUUAUGCAUAAAGAAAUUCUGGACUUUGUUAUUUUUUGUUGAAUAUUCUAGUUUGAUUCUUU